GUGCUUGCUUCAGCAGCACAUGUACUAAAAUUGGAACCAUACAGAGAUGAGCAUGGCCCCUGUGCAAGGAUGACAUGCAAAUUUGUGAAGCGUUCCAUAUUAAA
rnacentral:snRNA from 1 species